rnacentral:rRNA from 1 species
CGUAGGGUGCGAGCGUUGAUCGGAAUUACUGGGCGUAAAGCGUGCGUAGGCGGUUCGUUGUGUCUGUGGUGAAAGCCCCGGGCUUAACCUGGGAAUUGCCAUGGAAACUGGCGAGCUGGAGUGUGGCAGAGGAGGGUGGAAUUCCGCGUGUAGCAGUGAAAUGCGUAGAGAUGCGGAGGAACACCGAUGGCGAAGGCAGCCCUCUGGGCUAACACUGACGCUCAGGCACGAAAGCGUGGGGAGCAAACAGGAUUAGAUACCCUGGUAGUCCACGCCCUAAACGAUGGCAACUAGGUGUUGGGGAAGCGAUUCUCCAGUACCGUAGCUAACGCGUGAAGUUGCCCGCCUGGGGAGUACGGCCGCAAGGUUA